rnacentral:misc_RNA from 1 species
CCUAACACAUGCAAGUCGAGCGGUAACAGGAGUAGCAAUACAUGCUGACGAGCCGCGAACGGGUGAGUAAUGCUUCGGAAUCUACCCUAUGGUGGGGAAUAACCAGCCGAAAGGUUGGCUAAUACCGCAUACGUCCUACGGGAGAAAGCAGGGGAUCGCAAGACCUUGCGCCGAUGGAUGAGCCGAAGUCGGAUUAGCUAGUUGGUGAGGUAACGGCUCACCAAGGCGACGAUCCGUAGCUGGUCUGAGAGGACGACCAGCCACACUGGGACUGAGACACGGCCC